rnacentral:rRNA from 1 species
AUUGUCCUACGGGACGCAGCAGUGGGGAAUAUUGGGCAAUGGGGGAAACCCUGACCCAGCGGCGCCGCGUGAGGGAAGAAGGUUUUCGGAUUGUAAACCUCUGUCCUUGGUGACGAUAAUGACGGUAGCCAAGGAGGAAGCCACGGCUAACUACGUGCCAGCAGCCGCGGUAAUACGUAGGUGGCGAGCGUUGUCCGGAUUUACUGGGUGUAAAGGGAGCGUAGACGGCCAGACAAGUCUGAAGUGAAAAUCCAGCGCUUAACGUUGGA